rnacentral:miRNA from 1 species
GAGAAUGGUAGAGGGUCGGACC